UGCGCGGGUUCAGCCGGGCAGGGUCGCCUCUAGCCUGGAAGCUGCGCACCGCCGCCCUAUCUGGCCAGCAACCCCGCAACUGCAGCGGCCCCGGGCAGAAGUAACGAUGGCCUUUCCCGCAGUCGCCUCUGGAGCACUCAAAGUUUUGCAUGCAUCAUGUCUUUUCCUCCCGGGAUCCCCGUCACCCACCGUGCGUGCGAUGUCCCCGAGGGAUCCUAGGGACUUAGCGGGGACAAGGUCGGCUGUUCCGCACCCCUCCACCACCAACCCCCAGGGCAGGGUGGGGACUCUGGCGAGUGUACCUCCCACUACCAUACCCAGUCUCCUCUCUUGGUGAGUCUUGGAACCCGGUCGCUGCGCAGAAGUCUUCUGGAGCCAGGAGCAAAGGGAAAAAAGGACGUGGCUCAGAGAAGCAGGAAGCACACAGGCAGACAUGGUGCUGGAGGGGUAGCUGAGAGUUCUACAUCUGGAUCCACAAGCGACAAGAAGUGAACUGAGGAGCUUCAGAGACCUCAAACUCCACCUCCUAGUGACACACUUCCUUCCACAAAGUCAUACCUACUCCAACAAGGUCUCCUAAUAGUGCUGCUCAGGCCUAUGGGAACCAGUUACUUUCAAACUACCAUGGAAAGACACUGAAUACUAACCUCGGUGAUUGCUUUGCCGCUGUGAGCGUCUUUGAUCACACCCCACCAUAGGGGGACCCAAACCCUUCUCGUGGACAGCAUUUGAAGAGCCAGAUGGUGUGGUGGGUUAGAAAAUCCAUGAGGAAUUAAAGGAAAUACAGCUUGUAAGUAUAGCGUCAUUCCUGACCGUCGCUUUCCUGCCCUAAGUGGAGGGCUGCUCGGUGCUUGGGUACAGCACUGUAGGCUCUUAUCCCCAGUGCGUGGACGGUGAAGUUGAGUCUACAAGGGACACUCCUUCCCGCUGCUCUCCCAGUCCCCUCGUGGCCGAACACUUGCCCAGUGCACAUGCAAUGCUCUGCACAGCUGUGCCUCUUCUCGUGAUUCACAUGACAGGCAUCAAAGAUGUCUUAUGACAACCUACCUGACAGAUGGCGAUGGGGUGACAUCAGGAGGUGAUGGAUGACCUCUACCAGACGGAAGGUGUUCCUGAGGCCCACAGUGGACUAGAUGGACUGGUAGAUGGAGUGAUCGUCACCAGCUCCACUGAAACUUUGGUAGAAUAGGAGUUGCCCUCCCUGUGACCACCACUACCCUGUGACCACACCCACCCCGUGACUACCACCACCCCGUGACCACACCCACCCCGUGACCACACCCACCCCGUGACCACACCCAUCCUGUGACCACACCCACCUGUGACCACCACCACAGGCUGCUGCCUAGAAAAACCUUUGAGUCAGCAAUUUUCCAAGAGCUCUCUUGUAAACGAGAGAUACAGAGACUUGGGUCAUGGAAUACAACAACGUUGGUUCUAAUGCUUCUUGAUUUCACCUCAUACCAGGCUAGGAGGAGACGGUGACAUAUACAUCAGCUCAAUAAAUUCGUUACUGGGGAGGGUCAGCGUGUGUGGUUUCAAUUACAGAUUGGCCCAGGAUUGAUUGAACAGUCUGCAUGGCUCCGGCUGGGAUUGGCAGGGGCUGGACUCUCGUGAGAGGUGGGUGCUGGAGAACCAAUCAGCGGAUGUGCUCCAUGUCCCUUUGUAUCCAGGAAGAAUGUAAUUAUGAGUGAAAUGUCGUCAUGAGGUGAGCGCGAUGACACUAGGAGACUUGGCGUAGCCUGUCCUGCCUCGUAUCCCUCAUCCCUGACAUCUCGGACCACACAAACCUCCCGUGCUGUGCUCUCGCUGGCUCUCUGUCUUUAGCGCGACUCACCCCAUGGCAUUUUAGGGGAAAAAGACCACAGUGAUUGCUUCUCUGAAGAAGGCCUUACUUUCCAGCAUGGUGAGGCUUGCCUGAAAUUUCAGAAGAAUCACAAGUUCAAGGCCACCCUGGGUUAUGUAGCAAAACCUUGUUUUAAACAAGAAAAAGGCAACAAUCCAUGAUUUUUCCUAAGUAUUCUGGCAUUCAGAUACUGGUCUGCUCAAGGAAUUGUUUCAUUUAAUGUCAUGUCAGGGACUACCCCAAUUAGACUGACCUGUGGUGUCUCAGGGAAUAACAACCUCAUUUUCUAGAGCCAGAGUCAUUUCCCACCUUUCUGGGGGAGGGGAGGGAAAAGGCAUAAAUACAAAUGCUCUCAACCUAGAAAUAACUGUUAGCAUUUUGAUGUGUUGGUAAUGUGUUGCUAUCUGCAAUAUCUCUCUAUUGUCUCCCUGUCGAAUUUGUUUAUACAAGUUAGAUCCAUGUUCUGCCAACCAAGACACUCAGGGCGACAAUCCAUGGCUACAUAUAUGAACAUGAAUAUAAACAUACUGUAAAAGUGCAUAUACUUAAAUCUG